UACGGAGGGAGCUAGCGUUGUUCGGAAUUACUGGGCGUAAAGCGCACGUAGGCGGCUAUUCAAGUCGGGGGUGAAAGCCCGGGGCUCAACCCCGGAACUGCCCUCGAAACUAGGUAGCUAGAAUCUUGGAGAGGCCAGUGGAAUUCCGAGUGUAGAGGUGAAAUUCGUAGAUAUUCGGAAGAACAUCAGUGGCGAAGGCGACUGACUGGACAAGUAUUGACGCUGAGGUGCGAAAGCGUGGGGAGCAAACAGG
rnacentral:rRNA from 1 species